rnacentral:misc_RNA from 1 species
GUGAAGAUGAUGCUGGAUCUAGGUCCCUUCUCGGACGAGAAAUUCGAUCCGAAGAAAUGGAUCAAUUCAGCUUGCCAGACUCGCCAUCCACAGGAAUCUCUGGACAAGCACCUGGUGGAUCUCGAAAUGAAGCUUCAAAUGGUGUCAGAGGAGAUCGCCGCCUCUCUCGAAGAGCAGAGCGCAGCUUCCCUCCUCCGCGUCCCGCGUGCCACUCGCGAUGUCAUUCGCCUCCGUGAUGAUGCCGUCUCCCUUCGCAAUUCCAUUUCUGCAAUCCUCCAGAAGCUCAAGAAGGUUAGCGCUGUAUUGUUUAAUGGAGAUAUGUGCAGUAUUUUGAUUUUCAUGUUGGAUGGAUUUAGUUUGGUUAGUGACUAUAAAUGCGUCCAAAGAAAAGACUUAAGUUCCUUAUCGUGGAAAUAGAUACAAUUAAAAUCUGAUAAAUUAGAACUUUGAGAUUCAAUGUCUUGUGUGUAUAGGAGAAUUCGUUCACUAAUGGGCCUAAAUGAGAUAUUAUCAAUUGAUUUGCUUUCUUCUUCAGGCUGAGGGAUCCUCGGCGGAAUCUAUAGCUGCACUUUCUAAAGUUGAUACCGUCAAACAAAGAAUGGAAACCGCUUAUGAGACUUUGCAGGAUGCUGCUGGGUUAACUCAAUUAAGUUCGACUGUAGAGGAUGUAUUUGCCAGUGGUGAUCUUCCGCGAGCUGCAGAAACCUUGGCCAACAUGAGGCAUUGCUUGUCUGCUGUUGGAGAGGUUGCUGAAUUUGCUAACAUUAGGAAGCAACUUGAGGUAUUAGAAAGUAGGCUGGAUGCAAUGGUACAGCCUCGUCUAACAGAUGCAUUGUCAAAUCGCAAGAUUGAUGCUGCCCAAGAUUUGCGGGGAAUUCUCAUUCGAAUUGGGAGAUUCAAGUCUCUGGAGAUGCAUUAUACGAAAGUUCACCUAGAACCCAUAAAGCAGCUCUGGGAAGAUUAUGACUCUAGACAACGAGCUAGUAAGUUUGCGGGUGAGAAGAAUGAAUUAGAAAGGCUAUCAGGCAAUAAUGACUUGCCUAUGAUUUCAUUCUCAAGUUGGUUGCCAAGUUUCUAUGAUGAGUUGCUGCUUUAUCUUGAGCAAGAAUGGAAGUGGUGUAUGGUUGCUUUUCCUGAUGAUUAUAAAAUUCUUGUACCAAAACUACUAAUUGAGACAAUGCAAGCUGUAGGGGCUAGCUUUGUUUCCCGUAUCAAUCUUGCCACUGGAGAUGUUGUUCCUGAAACAAAAGCGCUUGCAAAAGGCAUAUUAGAUAUUUUAUCUGGAGAUAUGCCAAAGGGUAUCAAGAUUCAGACUAAGCAUCUUGAGGCCCUUAUUGAAUUGCACAACAUGAUGGGGACAUUUGCAAGGAAUAUUCAGCACCUAUAUUCAGAAUCUGAUCUCCGAGUUUUAUUGGACACACUGAAGGCAGUUAACCUUCCUUAUGAAUCAUUUAAACAGAGGUAUGGUCAGAUGGAACGUGCCAUCCUGUCUUCUGAGAUUGCAGGGGUUGACCUAAGGGGAGCUGUCACUCGUGGUGUGGGAGCCCAAGGAAUUGAACUGAGUGAAACAGUUCGGAGGAUGGAAGAAUCUAUUCCCCAAGUUAUCGUACUUCUUGAAGCAGCCGUAGAGAGGUGCAUUAACUUCACUGGUGGCUCUGAGGCAGAUGAACUAAUUCUUGCCCUUGAUGACAUCAUGUUACAGUACAUAUCUUUCCUGCAAGAAACCCUUAAAUCACUGAGAGUUGUCUGUGGAGUGGAUAAUGUCAUUGAUCCAAGGAAGGACAUGAUCUUGGAGAAAAAGGAAGGGAGCCAAAAUGUGCGCAGAAUAGACUCAGUGUCAAAUGAAGAGGAAUGGUCCAUUGUCCAGGGUGCUUUGCAGAUACUAACAGUUGCAGAUUGUCUAACGAGCAGAUCCUCUGUCUUUGAAGCUUCCUUGAAAGCCACUCUAGCUAGACUGAGCACAAGUUUGUCUCUUUCAGUGUUUGGAUUCAAUUUGGACCAAAACCAGUCACACAUUACUGCAAAUGAUGGAAAUGGGGAACAAUCCUUGGGUGGAAGGGCUGCUUUGGAUGUGGCAACUGUCAGGCUUGUUGAUGCUCCUGAGAAGGCUCGGAAACUAUUUAACCUUUUGAAUCAGUCUAAAGAUCCUCGGUUUCACGCACUUCCACUAGCAUCACAGAGAGUUGCAGCAUUUGCUGACACUGUGAAUGAACUUGUCUAUGAUGUGCUAAUAUCUAAAGUACGGCAACGCCUCAGUGAUGUGUCUCGUUUACCAAUUUGGUCCUCAAUGGAGGAACAGAGUGCUUUCCCUCUUCCAACCUUUAGUGCUUACCCACAAUCUUAUGUAACCAGUGUUGGUGAAUAUCUUCUUACUUUGCCCCAGCAGUUGGAGCCCCUUGCUGAGGGCAUAUCUAGCAGUGAUGUCAACAAUGAUGAAGCUCAGUUUUUCGCAACUGAGUGGAUGUUCAAGGUAACCAACCUAUGCACACUUGAGCAUUAUGUUUUGCUUUUCAUUUUUAGCGUUUGGCUCGCAAAUGACUAGUAGAUAUCCAACACCACAUUAAUCCUGACUAGAGAACGUAUAUGCAGAGUCUGAAAGUCUACAAGCCCAGGCUGCUGAGACCCUGGUAACAGUAAAGUAUAUAAGCUUCUUAGUUUGUAUCACUGAGAUGAUCAGAAAAAAUGGUAAAAGUAUUUAGUAUGGUUGGCUUUCCUCAAAGGCAGGAACAAGUGUGCAAAAUGUGCAUGAAAAGAGUAGGAAAAAACUCAUUAAUGCAGCUUGUUCCUCUCUCAGAAAUCAGCAGACAGCCUCUCAAAAAUUUUAAAUGAUGGGAUAAUUUCGAUAGAAAUGCCUUUUGGUUGAUAAACGUGUGCAUGUGUCUAGUCAUGGAGCUUUAUAUUGUUGAUUGAUCCCUUUAAAGCUGGGGAUUCAAAUCAGUAGAAAACACGUCAUGAUGAUCAUCUUAAUUUCUAUUAUUGAAAAUGAUUUAGCACAGCCAAUUUGACUAGGAUAAUUGUUCCUUCUGUGUCUUAGGUUGCAGAGGGUGCCACCGCUCUUUACAUGGAGCAGUUGCGGGCUAUUCAGUGCAUAACAGAUCGUGGAGCACAGCAGCUGUCUGCUGAUAUUGAGUACUUGAGUAAUGUGCUUUCUGCUCUAUCAAUGCCGAUUCCUCCAAUCCUGGCAACUUUCCACACAUGCCUCUCAACGCCCAGAGACCAGCUGAAGCAUCUUGUGAAAUCGGACGCUGGGAACCAGCUUGAUCUUCCAACAGCAAAUCACUUUUCUUCCCCUUGACUAUGCAACAUUAUGACUAUCCUGAAAUAUUAUUCUGCUCUAGCACAUCAAAAUGCUACCUUGUCAUGUUUAACUUCAACAAAGCAGAUUUGGCAUGCCACGCUGUGAGGUAAGCCAUUUAUCUUCUCUUCGGCCCUCAUCAUUCCCUGAUCCUAUGACCAUUGGACCUUCAUAAUCCAACCAUCCUCGUAUACACAAAACAGUGCAAAGCCUAUAUCAUUGCACUACAGAAAUCAUACGCCCUUAUGCAUAUGACAUAAACUGCCCUCAUGACCAUAUUCCACAUAAAAUGACCAAAGUAAAAGCAUGGUAAUGCAGUAAUAACAUUAUGACAACAUUAAAACACAGCUAAAAGAAUGCAUAUUCCAGAUGGAACACUAAUACCAGCUGCGAAUUGCUCAUAUAAAUGUUCUUAAAUGCAUUACAUCUCAGUUAAAUUAGAAAAUAUUUUCCCCUGAAUUCCUUAUCAUAGCAUCAGGGAUGCGCUUAACAGCAGCCACUGUGCCAUCCAGGUUCACCAGAUUACAUGCCUUUCCUGCAAAGUGGAAUAGAAACAAGCUAUUUGACAGAUAAUAUGCAUGUUCAAGUUACCUCCAGGCAACCCAUAAAAUUGCAAGUUACAGGUUUUGUGAUGCAGCAUAACCUUGCAUCCAAGCCAACUGAAGUAGAUUUCCAAGCAAUUGUAAAAAACAGUAUUAAAGCAAUUAUGCUUUUAAGAAAUAGCUAAGAUGCUAUGGAAAUCACUCUGCAAAGAAAAGUAGUUACCUAUAAUUUGUCUGACCCUGGUUUUGAAAUUUUGACUCCAAAAAUAACAUACUCUGUAAAAAAAGGAAAUCCAUUUCUGCAUGAAGAUGAAGUACGGAGCUUUUACACUUGUUACCCUAAAAAACAGAAUGUCCAUUGGUCUUCACUGCCUGUUCAUUUGCAUAACCCAUGCAUCACCCCAAUGAUUCGUGUUCCGCCCAAUAAUGGGUUCAGGCAGCAGGUCAAGGAACAAUGAGAAUACAUAACUUGUAGAUUGUCAACAUGAUAACAUGCUACAUUGAAAUCAUACUAUGAAAAUCAAGCAUGGUCAUCCUGUAAAAAAAAAUAUUUAUCGAGCAUUGUCACCCUGUUAAAUAAUUUUGAGUUGUACGUGGUUAAUACCAAAAGAUUUUAGAAUUGUAUACUUUCUUUCACUGUUUAGUGGAUGAAGCAGCAGUUAAAAACAAUAUUACAUCAACUUGAAUAGAGAAAAAUUAAACCUAUGAUAAAUAGGGUAAGUCAAACUACCAUAGUGGCCAUGAUAAAAAUAAGAAUUAUGUGUUACCUCGAAACUGAAACAUAACCAUCAUCCCCAUCAGCAGCAGUAUCAUUCAAGCAUACAAUUUGAUUGUCCACUUAAAUACAUGAGAACAGAAUAGACAUCAAUGACCCCAAUACAAGGAAAUGGACGCUAGACUCAGAAAACCAUGUUCCAGAGACAAUCGCAUAAAGAAAUUCAAUUCAGCCAGAGCCCAAGAUGAAUAUAAAAGACUUACAACAAUAUCAAGUCAUACCUACCUCAAUCCUUUUCUCUUCUAUCAAUAUUGAUGAAAGGAAGGUAUAGUCUCAACAAAGCUCACGUAAUUUAAAAGCUCUGAUAUCUAUCUACACAAUCCAUUUAAUAUGGGUGAACUGGACUUUUAGGGGAUCUCCUGUGACUGUGUCUAACAGGGGAGGGUGACCUACUCCGGUCACGGUACCUAUCUCUGCCACUAUCUCUUCCACUCCUGGACCUCCAAUCUAUUCCCUUUCCUCCACCCCUACUACCUCUACCAGUCCACUUUCGUGACCUUUUAUGAUCACGUUCACGGUCACGAUUACGGUCCCUCUCCCUGUAUCGAUCUCUAUUAUGAUAAUGGUCCAUAUCAUCAGAAUCACUCCACCUCCUCUUUUCAUAUUCCUUCUCCCUUUUCUUCCUCUGUUCUUCAGCUUCUUUCUCCAUAGCUAGUCUCUCUUCUUCCUUUGCCUUCUCCUUAGCUGCCUUGUACUCUGUGAUGAAGUCUCGGACCAUGCCAUAACCUAUGUGCUGCUUCCCUACAACGUGAGACUGAGUCCUCUCUGCAGCAUCAUUUGCUACUAGAAAAGAACCGCAGAUUUCACACAAGGCCAUCUUUUUCUCCUGUGGAGCCAUCAAUAAUUUAUCACUCUGGAAUUGAAUCAAGGCCUUCUCAGCAUUGAGUUCAUCCACCUUUUUCAUAAGAGCUUGAGCUUCAUCCACCUUUCCAGCUUCACCAAGUGACUCAACUUGCACCAGCAGGUUCUUUAUUUUCUCCUCCACCACAGAUAACUGUUCAGACUUUUCAGCUGACAGUGGAGGUGGUGGCAUAGGUUCCUCCCCUUGAGCUAGGCGUUCUUGUCCACGCCUAACUCUUCUAUCCAAAUCCAUCACCUAUAAAAAAAGGGGAAUCAUGACAGAAAAAGCAUGUACUACAGGUCAACCAUAACAUGUAACCAAUAGACAAUGGAGCAUAGAAUCUACCAAUUUCUCACAACGCUGAGCAAGUUCAGCUUCAAAUUUGAGUAGAUAUCUGUCGUGUCUUGGGGAAUUCUCAAAGCUUUCUUUUAACUUUGGAUCAUGAAUCCUAGCACAUGGCCCUAGAUCACUUUUGGUGUUAACAAAGAGGUCAUGAGGACAAAAUCGAGCCAUAUAGAAUGGACAGACCUCCUUAGAAUCCCACGUAAUUUCCUUGUACUCUUUCUUCUCUUCCUCCGUCAAAUUACGAUCAGAACCCAUGAGUUCGUCUAGCAUAGCUCGCUGGAGGUCCAUGUCUGACAAUGGAAGCUUUGAGAUAAAUGAGGUUAUGAAGAGAAGAAGCAGUGGCUAUGAUAGAAAUUGAUAGAGUAUAAGCUAGGGUUUGAGGACUGGGAGAUUUGGUGGGGGUUAGGGUUUGGUUAUCCCAAUAGCAGGGAGAGAGACGGUAAGGCUAGUAGGAGGAGCUUGGCUUGAUGAUUUCUAUCGGCUCAGAAC